GAUGAACGCUGGCGGCGUGCCUAAUACAUGCAAGUCGAGCGAACAGACGAGGAGCCUGCUCCUUUGACGUUAGCGGCGGACGGGUGAGUAACACGUGGGUAACCUACCUAUAAGACUGGGAUAACUUCGGGAAACCGGAGCUAAUACCGGAUAAUAUUUCGAACCGCAUGGUUCGAUAGUGGAAGAUGGCUCUGCUCUCACUUAUAGAUGGACCUGCGCCGUAUUAGCUAGUUGGUAAGGUAACGGCUUACCAAGGCAACGAUACGUAGCCGACCUGAGAGGGUGAUCGGCCACACUGGAACUGAGACACGGUCCAGACUCCUACGGGAGGCAGCAGUAGGGAAUCUUCCGCAAUGGGCGAAAGCCUGACGGAGCAACGCCGCGUGAGUGAUGAAGGUCUUCGGAUCGUAAAACUCUGUUAUUAGGGAAGAACAAACGUGUAAGUAACUGUGCACGUCUUGACGGUACCUAAUCAGAAAGCCACGGCUAACUACGUGCCAGCAGCCGCGGUAAUACGUAGGUGGCAAGCGUUAUCCGGAAUUAUUGGGCGUAAAGCGCGCGUAGGCGGUUUUUUAAGUCUGAUGUGAAAGCCCACGGCUCAACCGUGGAGGGUCAUUGGAAACUGGAAAACUUGAGUGCAGAAGAGGAAAGUGGAAUUCCAUGUGUAGCGGUGAAAUGCGCAGAGAUAUGGAGGAACACCAGUGGCGAAGGCGACUUUCUGGUCUGUAACUGACGCUGACGUGCGAAAGCGUGGGGAUCAAACAGGAUUAGAUACCCUGGUAGUCCACGCCGUAAACGAUGAGUGCUAAGUGUUAGGGGGUUUCCGCCCCUUAGUGCUGCAGCUAACGCAUUAAGCACUCCGCCUGGGGAGUACGACCGCAAGGUUGAAACUCAAAGGAAUUGACGGGGACCCGCACAAGCGGUGGAGCAUGUGGUUUAAUUCGAAGCAACGCGAAGAACCUUACCAAAUCUUGACAUCCUUUGACCCUUCUAGAGAUAGAAGUUUCCCCUUCGGGGGACAAAGUGACAGGUGUUGCAUGGUUGUCGUCAGCUCGUGUCGUGAGAUGUUGGGUUAAGUCCCGCAACGAGCGCAACCCUUAAGCUUAGUUGCCAUCAUUAAGUUGGGCACUCUAAGUUGACUGCCGGUGACAAACCGGAGGAAGGUGGGGAUGACGUCAAAUCAUCAUGCCCCUUAUGAUUUGGGCUACACACGUGCUACAAUGGACAAUACAAAGGGCAGCGAAACCGCGAGGUCAAGCAAAUCCCAUAAAGUUGUUCUCAGUUCGGAUUGUAGUCUGCAACUCGACUACAUGAAGCUGGAAUCGCUAGUAAUCGUAGAUCAGCAUGCUACGGUGAAUACGUUCCCGGGUCU
rnacentral:rRNA from 1 species